rnacentral:rRNA from 1 species
AGAGUUUGAUCCUGGCUCAGGAUGAACGCUAGCGGUAGGCUUAACACAUGCAAGUCGCGGGGCAGCACGAGUAGCAAUACUUGGUGGCGACCGGCGGAUGGGUGAGUAACGCGUAUGCAACCUACCUUAUACUGGGGAAUAGCUCUCGGAAACGAGGAUUAAUGUCCCAUAGUAUUAUUUACAGGCAUCUGUUUAUAAUUAAAGCUACGGCGGUAUAAGAUGGGCAUGCGUGCCAUUAGGUAGUUGGUAAGGUAACGGCUUACCAAGCCUAUGAUGGUUAGGGGUUCUGCAAGGAAGGUCCCCCACACUGGAACUGAGACACGGUCCAGACUCCUACGGGAGGCAGCAGUGAGGAAUAUUGGUCAAUGGGCGCAAGCCUGAACCAGCCAAGCCGCGUGCAGGAAGACUGCCCUAUGGGUUGUAAACUGCUUUUAUACGGGAAUAAGAAUUUAUACGAGUUAUAGGUUUUGCAUGUACUGUAUGAAUAAGCAUCGGCUAACUCCGUGCCAGCAGCCGCGGUAAUACGGAGGAUGCAGGCGUUAUCCGGAUUUAUUAGGUUUAAAGGGUGCGUAGGCGGCAAUAUAAGUCGGAGGUGAAAUCUUACAGCUUAACUAUAAGUUUGCCUUCGAUACUGUAGUGCUAGAGUACGAACGAGGUAGGCGGAAUGUGCAGUGUAGCGGUGAAAUGCAUAGAUAUUGCACAGAACAUCGAUUGCGAAGGCAGCUUACUAGGCCGUAACUGACGCUGAUGCACGAAAGCGUGGGGAUCAAACAGGAUUAGAUACCCUGGUAGUCCACGCUGUAAACGAUGAUCACUUGCUGUUGGCGAUAGACAGUCAGUGGCAAAGGGAAACCGAUAAGUGAUCCACCUGGGGAGUACGUUCGCAAGAAUGAAACUCAAAGGAAUUGACGGGGGCC